rnacentral:lncRNA from 1 species
GUUGAGUUACAGCACCAAGAGCACCCUGGGCUAUAAGGGAACUAGAAUGCAGUUGUUAGCAGCAGCGAAUCUGCAUGGGUCUGCAGCAACCUCAAGUCUCCUCAGAAGAAAGAAUUUGACCAAGGGGCAUAAGGCAGAAGGAGAGACCCGGGCAAGCUUCAGAGCAAGAGUGGAAGUUUAUUAAAAAGCUUCAGAGCAGGAAUGAAAGAAAAGUACACUUGGAAGAGAGCCAAACAGGUGACUUGAGAGAUCAAGUAAAACCUCAUUAACGUAACUGCAACAAUGAAGACAUUACCUAAUCAAUGGAAGCAGAGAGGAAUAGCUGCUGUCAAUUACGCUAUACCUGUACAAGACAAAUUUCUCACCCAACCUCCUUGCCCUUGGCUGAAUCAUCCAAUCCUGAACUUCCAUGGAGAAGAGAGAAGUCCAUGGACAGGGAUUUUCCUCAUCAGCUGCUCCUGACCACAGUAUUGGGGUUUGAGUGCUCAAGGUGCCCCUAAGGAACCAUCCCAAGGGUAUUUUCCCUAGAGGUCUCUUAAGAGUUGGGUGAAAUUUAAGAAGAGCAAGCUGCCUUCCAUCUGCUAUCCCCGGGGUCAUGUGCCCCCAGAUGGUGCAGGAUGAGUGGGGGCAAAGGGCAAGGGGGAAGUAUGUCAACUGGAACAUCACAGAAGUCUAAAUAAGGACUGUUCUGUUUGCCAUCCAUCUCUUAAUUUUUUGAUCUCACUAAAGGAAUACAACCCUAUAAUAAACACUCCAGCCUUACAUAAAUAAGCACCAGCUUGCAACUGCCUCUGUAGCCAGCUCACUGGAUUCCUGAGAUUAAGAACACAGGCUCUAUCUCGACUGAGGUACAAGGUUGUUAAAAUGUGGACAGAUUGGAGCGCUACAAAAAUGUGGCAUGGAAGAAAUGCCUGUCCAGAGUCUGACUGUGUCACCCAGGCUGGAGUGCAGUGGCGUGAUCUCGGCUUACUACAACCUCUGCCUCCUGGGUUCAAGCAAUUCUCCUGCCUCAGCCUCCAGAGUAGCUGGGAUUACAGCACCCCUCCCACAAGCUAGCAGGAGGGUGGAAGUGAGGAUGAAGGAUCCUUGUGGAAGCUGAGUCCAGCCCAGGAUGCCUCUGCCCACUUCUGCUCUGCUCUUAGCACAGGUGCCUGGCUCCCACCUGUUGAGUUACAGGCCACUGACUUCCAAGUCAGGCCAGGAGGUCAGUCAUCUUUUCCACCGAUCCUCUGCCCUGAGCUGAGUUAUCUCGCACAAGUGGUACCCACUGGACCCCGUAGCUCUGGCCCUGCUGGAACUCCCUCGCAGCUUAGCAGGGGUUUUAAAUCUGGCCCAUGAGGCCUUGUCAGUUUCAAGAGCCCCCCCUGACCUUUUAAUAAACAUUUCCUUUGUUAUCAGAAUUAUUUCCUAAUUCAUUCCCUUCUGUCCCUGAAAAUCUAAAUCCUAUUUAAGUUAAUGCCCUUCAUUUUCAUUUAUAAAGACAGAUACAAAAUAAUUAUUUCCUAUCUCCGUGGUUUCCUUAUCUCCCGUCCUAAUAAUGCCUUCAGCAGAUGAACAUUCCCUGUCAGUUGAAACAGUUGGAGUGUUUGUUUUUUUCACUCUUUAAAGAAGAAAAAUAAAAUGCUUUCUCAGGCUUUGUCUCUUCUCUUCUCCUCUCUCCUCUUUUCUCUUUCUGCCUUUCUCGGCUCUUUUCUUCUCACUAUCUGCUUUUCUCCCGGGCGCCCCCUCUCCCUCUUCUGACCCCCACAGUGACCCUUUCUCUCCCUCUCCUGCACCCUCUCCUGCUGUCCUGGCCCUUGCCCAGCCCAGUGUUGCUGGGCGCCUCUCAUUUUCCUGUCCGUAGUGCAAUUUCUCUGCGGCCUCACAUCUGAAUUUCAUCAGCCCAUGAGCCUGCCUUUGAGCUCAGGUCCCCCCAGCUAGUAAAACUGGUUUGGAUGAGCAGACGCAGUCUCGAAAAGAAACAUUCUUUGGUUUCCUCUCAUGACAACUAGUGAGCAGAGAAUUCACAGUUCCCUUCUCCGGGCGCCUCUUUGAAGUGUUUGAUUGAAAGGAGAGGGGAUGGAAAGGAAUGGGGUGAUGGGGGUUGGUAGUGGCGGGAACAAGGAUUCCAGCUUUAACUAGCAACUCUGAAACCAGCGACCCAGACUUCCGGCGACCCUCUCUGUUCCUUGCCCAUCUGGGUAGGGGAGAUGCUGACUGAUUUUUGGCUAUCUGCACCAGAUCCAGUCUUCCACCCUCCUCUCUUUUGUUUUCCAGUAAAACUCAACACACAAUUUAAAUCCAGGGUUUGGGAGAAAGUCAUUAAUAGAGUAGCUGAUUUUAAGGGAACUGGUUCUGUUCUCAGAAAGCAGUUGUUCAAAUCCUAACCAUUAGCACAUGCUGAAUGCCUUCUAUAUGCCAGCUAUGUAAAUGAUUUCAUUUACUUCUCAUGAGGACCCUGUGACCUAGCAGCUACUGUUUCCCCAUUGUAUGGAUGAGGAAACUGAGGCUCAGAAAGACUGGGAAACUUGCUCACAGCCCUCGACCAGCAGAGGUACAACCAGGCCUCGAAUCCAGGUUUUGCUUCAUAUCCCUCACUCUCUGACAUACAGGCCUUCAAGAGAAAGGAUUUCUGUCACUCCUCUGGCUUUAAAGUCUUUGUCAAGGCCAAGAAGGAACUAUGAAGAACUCUUCUGUGACGGUAUCUAACAGGUGGUCUCUGAGCUCUUUUAUCUUUGGUAGAGAAUGCAGAUUACUAGGCACAAAGAUUUAAAAAAACCCACGAGAGAAAAAUGUUUGAAAGCAUGGUGCUACAGAGAGGUCAAGGACUAAUGGAUGGGGAACGGAAUGUACCUACAUCAAGUCCCUUCAUUUUAUAGUCAGGGAAACUGAGGCCUAGCAAGAGCUGGGUCUCACUCCUGCCUUCACUUAGCUCAGCAGCUAAGACUUGCUGAACCCACAAAGAGCUUUCCUUCAUCAUCUGGAGGGAGAUACGGAAGCCACCUAGGGGUUACCCCAGAGAGGCCAGGAGACUUA